CCUCUGUAGUCGAAGAGAUGCCCAUGGUUAUUGGUACUCUGGGCAUACCAGGGCUGCAGAGAGAGCAGUGCUGGGAGGAAGCCGAGGCCUUCCUGGGAGAGCUGCAGCAGCAACAUGCGCAAUAUUCCUCCUACAGGUACCAUGCUGUUGCCACGGAGGUAAUGACUUAUCCCAUGUCAUUAUUGAUCAAUCAACAGUAAGAGCAAUUUUGCAGUCUGAUAUUGUUCAGCAAAUAAGAGUAACAUCUGCUGAGCACUGAAAAACUGCUAUACAU
rfam:Calypte anna contig2730, whole genome shotgun sequence.